UGUACCCUAAAACUUAAAGUAUAAUAAAAAAAAAAAGUUACUCUCACUGAAGUUCUCUCUUGCCCAUUUCAAUCCCUACUCCCAUCUCCAGCCCUAAGCAAUACUGCUCUGAUAUUCUGUCUGUAUAAAUUUCCCAUCUGUGUAAUAGAAAUGGAAUCAUACAAUAUAUUAUAUUGAGGUCUGACUUUAAUCAUUUAGUUACUAUUUUUGAAGUUAAUUGAUGCUUUAGCUUGUGCCGGUCAUGUGUUUUCCUUUUCAUUGCUUCAUAGUCCAUUGUGUGGAUAUAUAAACAGUGUUUAUUCAUUCAUCAGUUGAUGGACAUUUAAUUAUUUCUGUUUUUUGUAUUAUGAAUAAUGCUGCUUUGAGCAUUCAUAAUACAGUCAUGUAAUGUAUAAUAACAUUUUGGUCAAUGAUGGAUAGCAUGUAUGAUGGCAGUCCCAUAAGAUUAUGAUAGAGUUUAAAAAUUCCUAUCACCUAGUGUCUUGUAGCUGUCACAAGUGUGUAGCGUAACACAUUAGACAGGCAUCAGUGAUGAUGCCGAUGGAAAGGAAUCUACUGGUUUUCCAGUUAUGUUAAAGUACUGUAUAGAACAUACAACUAUGUGCAGUAUAUAAUACUUGGUAGUGAAAAUAAAUGACUAUGUUCCUGGUUUAUGUAUUUACUGUGCUAUACUUUCUAUAAUUAUUUGAGAAUAUAUUCUAUCUGCGUAUUAAAACAAACCACUUACCUGUAAAACAGCCUCAAGUAGGCCUUUGAGGAUGUAUGCUAGAAGGUGUUGUUAUCGUAAGAGAUGACAGCACCAUGUGUGUUUCUGCCCCUUCCAGUGGGACAAGAUGUGGAUUCAGAAGGCAGUGACAUUGAUGAUCCUAAUCCUGUGUAGGUCUAGGCUGAUGUGUGUGUCUGAGCCUCAGCUGUUAACAAAAAAAGUUUAAAAUUUAAAACUUAAAUUUUAAAAUAGAAAAAAUAUAGAAUAAUAUUUUAAAAAUUUGCACAGCUGUACAAUAUGUUUAUGUUUUAAGGUAAGUGGUAUUACAAAAUAGUUGUUUUUAAAAUUGUUUAAGUUUAUAAAUUUUAAAUGUUACAGUAGGCUAAGGUUAAUUGUUGAGUAAAUAAAAAUAGAUUUCUAUAAAUUUAGGGUAGUCUAAAGAUACAAUGUUCAUAAAGUCUAUAGUAGUGUACAGUAAGGUCCUAGGCCUUCACAUUCACUCACCAUUCACUCACCGAAUCAUCCAGAGCAACGUCCAGUCCUUUAAGCUCUGUUCAUGGUAAAGUGCCCUAUACAGAUGUACUAAUUUUUAUAUUUUAUACCAUAUUUUAUUGUAGCUUUUCUAUAUUUAGAUUUUAGAUAUAUAAAUGCUUACCGUUUUGUUACCUUUGCCUGCAGUAUUCAGUACAGUUACAUGUUGUACAGUUUGAAGCCCAGAGCAAUUGGCUGUAUCAUACAGCCUAGGUGUAUAGGGGGCUAUGCCAUCCAGGUUUAUGUAAGUGCACUCUAUGAUGUCUGCGUAAUUACUACAUCACUUAACGAUGCAUUUCUCAGAACACAUCACUGUCGUUAAGAGACACAUGUCUGUACAAAUGACUUUGGAGAAUAUGCUUUCAGUUCACUUGGAGCAUUCCUGGGUGUGGAUUUGCUGGACCAAAUGGUAAGUUCAAAUUUAAUUUUUUUUAAGAAACAAGAAAGCUAUCUUCUAAAUUAGCUGUGCCAAUGUACAUUUCUACCGUGCUGCAUAGUACCAAUUUCAUACAGUGUAUGAAAUUGGUACACUGUAUGGUAAGCCCUAGCAUGUAAGAAAUGAAUAAAGUAACACAUAUAAAGAUUAGUAUAAAGCAAAUGAGAUUAUUAUUGUUGUUAUUGUCUUUGUCAGAUUCUCAGAAUAAUUAAGAAUAUAUUUUUAUAUAAAUGUGCUUGGCAACAUAGCUGAAAACAGCGUUAGUAGUUAUAUACUUUUAUCAGUAACAAAGACAUAAAUUUUCCGGGAGAAAAACACUUGUAAUAACAAUGUCAGAAUUAACAUACAAAUUCUGCAAAACAUUUUUGGCAGUUUAAUUGGGGCAGUGUUUUGUAGACAAAUGAACAACUUAAGUAAGGGGAAUCAACAAAACUUGGGUUUCAAAAGUUAUCUGGGUUUAGAGUGUGAAACUUCGUCGGAGGACACACACCUUGCGUGAAUGAGAUGCCUCGGUGUGUGUGGACAUGUUGGAGGUACAGCAUAAUGGUGGCUUCCUCCAGAAAGGGACAUUUGGGGGAGCACCAAUGGCUCCUGUCUCACAGUGGAUUCAUUCCACCUAGACAACACAGCCUGAUGUGGCAUGGACAUGAAUGGAGGUCAAAUGGGCAGUAGCUGAGAGGAUCAGCCCUGACAAGGGCCAGGGUGAAAGACCUGGGAGUCUCUUCAGGUGCAAAGUCUUCAGUUGAAAAAAGGAGGUGGUCACAGGAGAUACUGAGCUGGAUCAAUAAAGUGCAGGAGAGAGAGUUGUUGGCCCUGGGGAGCGAGUAGUAUGGACUCUUAAGUUUUCUCCUCCUUCCAUUAAUUUCUCUUCCAGUGCAGACUUCAGUCUUAGACUUCCCAGCUGCCUUGAGGGAUUGGAUGAGCCUUGGCCAGCUCUUGAAGGAAACAAUAAAAUCACUUUAAUGUGCUACUUUUCAUUUUGAAGUCAUUACAGUAUCAUUUGCAAAACUCAACAAGGAAAGAUGCCUGUGGAUGGCCGUGUUCUGGGAGUCACUGUGAUGAGGUUCUCACACGUCCCUGAGGAACUAGAGAGGAACGCCUCUGGGAAGCCCAGCCAGAGCCAACCGGAAGGGCCUUUUGGUGAAGUCUGACAUCCUACAUUAGUUUCUCUGGACCUGGAGCUCCCUGGAUAAAUCAUGAACAGAAGCAUCUAUGACCGACAGUUGCUCUGUGUCCUUCUAGCCUCGCAGGAGUUUCCAGCUCAUGAGGGCAGAGGAGAUGAAGAGAGGCCGAUCGACGUGAGGGUUGUGCAGGCGGCCCCUCUGAGGUGUGACUCCAGUAAGUACUCUGGAAUUACUUGCUGAGAAAGAAAAGUCUGGAUGCCAAGAAAGGUGUGACAUCCUUGCUGGCUUCAAUGUGAAGAGCCACCCUGAUUCUGGGAUUCUGAUAGGAAUAAGGUAGAUGAUGCAUAUCUGAACCUGGAAACCGCUUCCCACUGUAGAGCGUGUCUGAGUCAUGUCCCUUAGCUUCAGCAGAGCAGAUCCAGCAGGCUCUGAGCUUGGCCUCUUUGCCUGGAGCGAGACCUCUAGGUAAUGUCUCCAGAGAGGGUGGCACAAAGGAUCCUGGAUCUCCUGAUCACAGCAGCCCAAGAGUGCCGUGCGUGCACCAUGGCUCAAGAAGAAGACUUAAAAAGGGGAAA
rnacentral:lncRNA from 1 species